UAAGGAAUCUUCUGCAAUGGGGGCAACCCUGACAGAGCGACGCCGCGUGGACGAAGAAGCAUUUCGGUGUGUAAAGUCCUUUUCCCAGGGAUGAGAUGGACAGUACCUGGGGAAGAAGUCUCGGCUAACUACGUGCCAGCAGCCGCGGUAAUACGUAGGAGACAAGCGUUGUCCGGAAUUACUGGGUGUAAAGCGCGUGUAGGCGGUAGGCCAAGUCUGCUGUGAAAUCGCCCGGCUCAACUGGGCGCGGUCGGUGGAAACUGGUCAACUGGAGGACGGUAGAGGCGAGUGGAAUUCCCGGUGUAGUGGUGAAAUGCGUAGAGAUCGGGAGGAACACCAGUGGCGAAGGCGGCUCGCUGGGCCGGUCCUGACGCUGAGACGCGAAGGCGUGGGGAGCGAACGG
rnacentral:rRNA from 1 species